CAGCUGAUUACAUAAGCUCAAAAGCACAACGGCGCUCGCAUUUCAAAUCCAAUAUGUGUUAUUGAUUACAUUAAUAUCAUUUUCUGAUGGAUACAAUUUUGAUUGAUUACUACAAUUAAUUAGAAUACAGAAUUUCAUCCUCCUAUCUUCUGAUGCAAUAAUAAUAAUCAUCAGCAUCAUCUUCACUUUACCUAGUGACUUAGGAAUGGUGACCCAUCAUAGUGAAAUAUAUUUACAUCGCAAACGUUUUCCUCCUCAUCAUCAACAUUAUCAUCAUUUUGUAGGAAAAAUAAUCAUCUUUACCUUGAAGCAAAAUAAAAAAAGGAACGCAAAGAUCUCAACCUUUAAGACUCAUCUUCUUCAACAUCAUCUUAUCUUGUCUUCUCCUCCUUUUUUCAACUUUAUCUUCUGCUUCAUCUUCCGUUCGUGUUAUGUCGAUCAUUUUUUAAAAAAAAAUUACUCCAAAAUGAACAUUAGUCCAAGUGUUGAGAGGUUAAGGUGCAAAAAUAAGGUGGAUAAAACACUCAGAGACGCAUUUUGCUGCCUUCAUCUUCAUCAUCAUCAUUAUCAUCAUCAUCUUUGAAGACGAUCAUCCAGCUUCUUUCUUCAUUAUAAAUACAACUUGUAUGCUUUCUACCUUGAGGCUAUUACGAGAGAUUCCAGUUUUUGCUGUUCUUCGUUUUUUUUGGAGCAAAAAAAUUACCCAGAGAAGAGACUAACAGACAAAACUAAUAUCUUAAGUUAAAAUCAAAUUGAAGUCAAGAUCAAGCCAAUUAACUCUCCCAAUUUUCAACUAAUCAUGAUCAAAGUAAACUUUGGUUGAAACAAUUUUCUUGCUUGCUUUAACCAUUUUGAUGCAUUGAACGGACAAAGGAUCAAGUCAAACUGAAAGCAAGGCCUGAGUUAAAGGCAAAGAAAACUUAAUCAACUGAAAAUCUUGAUUGACUUUACGAUGUGUUGGCCAAUUAAUUGACCAAUUGAAAUAUCCAUUGUAAAAGGCCUUCAGUCAACUCACAACUGCAAUCAAUUGGAGUCAAUUACAUGGCAACAUUGUAACCAUUGAAACAACUGACAGUCACUGCAACUAUAAUGUUCAGCCUGUUUCUUUACAUUCAACAUCAUCUAAAUGAUUAACAUUUUCAAGAAAAUUGUCUUCAAGACUUCUCACAGUUGUCAUCAUCAUCAUCAUCAUCUUCAAUGUUGUUGUCAUAUUAAAUGGUUCUUUGUCAAUAAGAUUGAUUAUCUUGUAGCAUUACCAGACUGACAAGCCAGAGAACGAGAAAACCAAAUUUUAAGAUAUGUAAAUUCAGUUUGGUUACUUGCGUGUUAAAUAUCGUAAUGUUAUUCAUCAAUCACAAGUUUAAUUUGAUGUAUCAAAUGAUUGUGAUUUUAUGAAAUAUCAAUCAAAACUGUAUUCAUUAGGUUUUAUCAUUGGUUGAUUAUCAUAAUAUAAUUAGAGUUAAAAUGUUUCUUUAAGUUCAGUUUUGUGCGAACUCAUUUUUGAACAUUUUGCCAAAAAAAACCAAUGAAUAUUAAAUUUCGAGUAAAUUUUACUCAUUUUUGUAUUUCUUGAGAAUCUUUUUUUUCACUGUAAUUGCAUUUUCAUUGUAAACUGAUGAACAUAAAUCUUACAAGAUUGUUGCUCAUCAUCUCUAAAUCAAUCCAAAUAUAUUGCUAUUUUGUUAAACAUUACAUUGUCAUACCAAUGGAAAAGUUAUUGUAAUUAUUUCCAAUAUUAGAUGUGAAACCAUUUCAAUAAUCAUAAAUCAAUAGCCAGUGUCAGUUUAAACUAGCAAAAUCAUUUGAUUAAUGAUUAGACAGAAGCUGUUGUGGCUGUUAUGGUUAUCAAUUGAAGUCAAGCACAAUUUCUGGAUUAUCGUUUGGUUCCAGGACUAUUCUUGGGAAAAUUGUGAUUCCUGAAGUCGACAGCACUUACAACUUCCAUGUAAAGAUUGGUGUUUGGAACAAUGGAAUACUCAAAGAUAAUGGAUUCCAAUUCAUCAUUAACUCUUUCAUCAUAUUCCAACAGAUGAAUUCAAGACCAUCUUGAGAUAUUUCCGAGUUGAUCUCCAAAGCGAUUGUAAAUUAUCAUUGUAACCAUCAAAAAUAAUCAAUCUUCAUCUGUUAAUCAAUUGAAACAGCUUACGACUUACUUUCGUUAGACUUGAUGCCAAAAUUAGGUUAAAAAAUGAUGACAUUUAUCCAAGUAUAAGGCCCAAUCUUUCAUCUUUCAUCAUCUAAUUACAAUUAUCAAAACAAACAGUAAUGCAGCCAUUUACAUUAAGCCAGUUAUUGAUUAGAGAUUUAAUAUUAACAUGGUUGCUUUGAGUAUUGAGCUGAAGCUAUCAGUUGAGCUGAGUAUUUCCAACAAUUAACACAUUUACAAAUGAGAGAUGAAAUUUAUCAACAAUAACCUCAUUUCAUCUGUCAAUGUUGACAUUUAUAGCUAACAACUUGAAAGCAUCAAGCAAAACAUCAACCACAAUCAAAUCAUAAAUCUAUUCCAAUCAACCUCUCAGCUUGUCUCUUUCAUAGCCAAAAACCAAUGUUAAUUUACAUCUAAUAUCAUUUUCCUGUUUCUUUUCCCAUUUUCACCCGUAAAAUGGUUCCUCUAUCCAUGAUGAUACCAGAAACCAGAUUAUUAAAAACCGAUCAAAUUGCUUCCCUAUCUUCAUUACCAUCAAAUCAAUUGUACAUUUCCUUUCAACAAUUCCCUUGUAAUGACAACUUAACGUGCAAACC